ensembl:lncRNA
AUGGGCGAGGGAAGGAGGGAGGGAGCGCGCGAGGGAGGGAGGAGGAUGGGGGGGGUUAAAGCCGCCGAGCGCCGAGGAGCCGGUGCAGAGCGGGCGGCGGCGGCAGCGGAGGCAGCGGCUCCAGCCGGCGCAGCGCGGGGCUCGGCGGCGGGAUCCGGCGGCGGUGCUAGCUCCGCGCUCCCUGCCUCUCUCCCUGCCGGGGGCGGUCGAAGAGCUAGGCGCGGAGCCCCGGCGGUCCGAGGGCGCGUGCUCAGCAAGGCUGCAGAGUAACUAACUGCCUGUGAAAUCUGGGACUUAGGGGCAGGGGUCCACGAGUCUCAGCCCCCACCGACCCUGCCUCUGCUAUAAACAAGGUACACAGUGGGAGGCCAGUGUUGAGUAAACAAUCUUUCUCUCCAGCCAUACUGAGUGGUGUUGGUGGGCAGGACCAUGUCCCUAAUUCCCUGGCCGGCAGGGAUUAGGUGCUCAAGAAAUGUUAACGAAUGAACACUGAGUGGGACAGACUGUGGGGAGAGGGGACUCUCCGGGGUUUGUGGCUUGAGACUCAACAGCCUCUGUGGCAUAACCCUGUUUUUUGGUUUGAACCACCCCUAAGUGAUUUGCAGGCAAGAUUAAAGGAAGGACUUCCCUGUAUUCAAGGAAGGAGUGCAAAGGAUGGGCAGCUUCUUCCUUGAAAAGGUCUGUGGCAGAGGUCAGAGCUCACUUCUGUCCUCUCCCCAGCUUCAAGAUUUUUCAGAAGAUGGGAAAAUCCUUUUCUCCCCCGUGUGGUGGUGAACAUGUCCCUUGCUUUCUCUAAGUCUGGGUUUCUUGGACUCUAGCUAAAGCAGUGGACCCCAGGUCUGAGCCUUUGAGGCUGGGCUUCCCUGGUGGCUCAGCUGGUAAAGAAUCUGCCUGCAAUGCAGGAGAAGUGGGUUUGAUCCCUGAGUUGGGACGAUCCCCUGGAGAAGGGAACGGCUACUCAACUCCAGUAUUCUGGCCUGGAAAAUUCCAUGGACGUUAUAGUCCUUGGGGUCGCAAAGAGUCGGACACGACUGAGCAACUUUUACUUCACUUCUGAGGUUUAGCUGCUGUGGGCACCAUAGACUGUCUGUAUUGGUUAUUAAUGUCUGUCUGAGAACACAGAGUUCAGAUCCUAAAAAUACCCUGUGCAGCCAGAGCCUCAGAGGUGCUGGGGUAGCAGUGGCUGCAUCUUGAUGGGUUAGGCACAGAGGCAGGAGAGAGAGAGAGAAUGCGGAGAAACUGAGGCAGGCAGCAUGGGCCGGGAGUUGCACAGGAGACAGAGCCUUCCUUUGUAGGGAACAAAGGUUUCUAAAAGAGUGGUGCCAGUUAGUCACAUGAUGGCAACAUUUAGGGUAAUCUGUUAUCUUGCACCACCAAGAAUUUCCUUCUCAGAGAGCUUGGAGAUACAACUGAUAACAGACAUAAAAAUCAAGUAGUCAGUGGUAACCAUUUCAAGUCCAGCUUCAGAAUGUUCCAAAAUGGUGUGUGACCAAGGAAAAUGUCUUUCCCAGGUAGCCUUUUCUGAGCCGCUGCCUCUAUCCCUUCUCCUAGAGCUCUUCCUUGCAGCCCAAGUGCCAGUGAGUUUCUUCCACACCCUGUGCUAUACGUCCCCACCUCACUUCUGACCCCCAGGCCUCUGUGGAGCCCCUCUCCCCCAGGAGAAGGGGACUCACAGUGGUCCCCGAAAGGUAAGAUGAGCCCAGCCUCUGAGGACAGAUGUCAUGUGACCUUGGCCCAUGAGCUGACCUUUCUGGGCCCCUCCGUGAAAUCGUGGGAUGGGGGCUGGGCCCUGGCCCAGGCCCUGAGAGAACGCGGUUUUGGCACCCAUCCAGGUCCCUGACGUCAAUGACUCUCCAAAUAAUGGAAUCAAUAUUGGGGGGGUGGGGUGGGCAAGCGUGAACCAGGCCCCAGCGAUUAGAAACAGAUCAGCACAAACCCGCAGCUGACUCUGAUAGAGCUGCCUUGGAGAGCUAGGGUGGGGGGCCUGGGAGGAGGUGGACUUGAGGGGGCUCAGGAAUGGAGGCAGGCACUGGGUGUCCAAAGCGUGGGAGUACACAAGUGGGCAGAGACUCUGGCGCUGCUGGGGUGGGAAUGAUGAGGUUGGGGGGGCUGUCCUGGUCCCUUCCUCCUUUGAGCCUGUGGGGUUCUGAGACUGAGGUAACUUGGUGAAUGGAGACUUCUUUCAGCCAGUCAGUGAUCAAGAGUUCAUCUCUCUGCAUCCCAGACCUGGGCCCCUCAGCCAUAUUAGGGCUCAGAGGUUAUACCAGGGGAACAGAGGAGCUGGGGGAGGGUUCUGAGUGAGAUCUAAACGGCAUGACCUUUUUUUUAGAGGCAUGGGGCAUUAAUCCAACAUAGAGAAAUGGGUAUUCCCCUUCAGAUUGGGAGUCUGGCCUCCUUGCCCAGCUCAUGUCUCUCAGCCCUCUAUAAGGCAGCAGGUGAGGAUGGAGGGGGCCCUGGGGUCUAUAGGGGGCUGGCCUGGAGGCAGCUGACAAAAACAGGAAGAAGGGCUGGGGGGAGUGGCUGUAAUUAUAGGGCAUUUAUUAUUAAUCAGAUGAAACUGCUAGAAGCAGCUGGUGUAAUGUG